GUUUGGAAGCAGCCUUCCCCGCCGGGAUCCCCGCUAUUUCCCCGCGCCGGCAGCCCAUGCGGGAUUCUCCCACGCGGAGUUCAGCAAGCGCCUUUGGAAGCCGCGGAUUAGCGCCCGACCUGUAGACACCGGGGAGCACUCCCCGUCCUCUCGUCUCACAGUCUCGCUUCGCUCGACUCGCGGAGUUGAGUGGGAGAGUGCCGCCGCCUGCCAUGCUCCUCCGACGACCUCACGACGGCAGCGUCUCCUCCGCCGGCGUCUCUACAACGACCUCCUUGUUCGCAUCAGAGUGCUCAGCGGACGUGCGAUAUAAAAACUGAAGAAAAAUUAGAACACUUGGUGGAAGCAAGUGUGUCAACGCCAUAUGAAAGCAAUUCAUUUCUGUUGGGCUACAGUGUUUGGUGGUUUUCUUCAUGUUACUUGCAGAACACUUAAGUUCAGUAUUACCUAGCUAGUAAUCUAUCUCCACAGCAUCUUCUCCAUGAUUUUUACCUCCAACUGUGGACAAAACCAUAUGAAAGCACUUCAUCUCUUACAGUGCCUUGUGGUUGAUACAAUCUUUUGAUUGGUAGUUUGUAAUAUAGGAUUCGCAUGGUGUGAAUCAUUUUAGCCAUGUCUUAUCUGUAUGUUGGUGUUAGUCAAGAUGAAUUAAGCUUAUAUGGAAUAGCAAAUGUGUGUUACCCUAAGGACAAUACAGUAACUAUUCUGCUAUUUUCGAUAACAUCUUGAUAAUAUAUGGAUUAAGCUUAUAUGGAUA